CAAUAGCGUAUAUUAAAGUUGUUGCAGUUAAAAAGCUCGUAGUUGGACCUUGGACCUGGACAGGCGGUCCGCCUCACGGCGUGUACUGUCUUGCUGGGUCUUUCCUCUUGGGGAUCUGUUGUUUCGGCAGCAGGGAACCAGGACUUUUACUUUGAAAAAAUUAGAGUGUUCAAAGCAGGCUCGACGCCGGAAUAUAUUAGCAUGGAAUAAUAAAAUAGGACGUGCGGUUCUAUUUUGUUGGUUUUUGGAAUCGCCGUAAUGAUUAAUAGGGACAGUCGGGGGCAUUAGUACUCACAUGCUAGAGGUGAAAUUCUUGGAUUUUGUGAAGACUAACUUCUGCGAAAGCAUUUGCCAAGGAUGUUUUCAUUAA
rnacentral:rRNA from 1 species